UUCUAGCCCCGAUUGAAGCGGCAUCCUUUUGCGGAGCGAAGCGGAGCAAAAGAUACAGCGGAAAGCGGGAAAUAGC
rnacentral:sRNA from 1 species